AUUACACAUAUAAAUAUAUGACGUAUAAGAUAUUAAGGUAAUUU
rnacentral:guide_RNA from 1 species